rnacentral:lncRNA from 1 species
ACCUCCUCACCCAGCUCCAUCUUUUUCAUGUAUAAGGUCUCAUCCUCCUCAACGAAGCCAAGGUAAUCGUUUAUUGUCUUCCUAUCAAACAACACCUUCAAGUUCUCUGUAGCUUGGUUACCUUGGUACCUUUUUGAUGUGGGCAACAUUGGUGUAGAAUUCCUUGACCAAGUACUCAUUAGCGUCCACAUAAUCUCCAAAAAAUACUCCCAUCUGACUCUCUCCCUAAACUGCCUCCUCACAUUGGGGUUGUGAGGUAGCAAGUCUCUAUCUAUGAAGCUCCUCCUCGGGAUCAACGUUCUCACUGGACACCAUUCUCAAAACUUGUGGUACGCUACCUCACUAACAAAUCGGUCUUGCCACACUUCCCUCAUCCGAGUUUGGUCAAUACCCUCACUUUUGGUUCACCUCUAUCUACUACUUCUUUGUCUCCUACUAUGUCCUCCUCAUCACCUACUGUACCCUCUCCAGAUAAUGAAGUUGUGGGAGAGGUGGAGUAUCCCCACUACCUUCACCUGAGCCCUUAGA